GACGAGGGGUCCUAGCGUUGUUCGGAAUCACUGGGCGUAAAGCGUAUGUAGGCGGCCUGUUAAGUCAGUUGUGAAAUCCCACGGCUCAACCGUGGAAUGCAAUUGAAACUGGCGGGCUUGAGUGCAGGAGAGGUUGGUAGAAUACCUGGUGUAGUGGUGAAAUACGUAGAUAUCAGGUGGAAUACCGGUGGCGAAGGCGGCCAACUGGCCUAGCACUGACGCUGAGAUACGAAAGCGUGGGGAUCAAACAGG
rnacentral:rRNA from 1 species